GAUGAACGCUGACAGAAUGCUUAACACAUGCAAGUCAACUUGAAUUUGGGUUGUUAACUUAGGUUUGGGUGGCGGACGGGUGAGUAACGCGUAAAGAACUUGCCUCACAGCUAGGGACAACAUUUGGAAACGAAUGCUAAUACCUAAUAUUAUGAUAAUAGGGCAUCCUAUAAUUAUGAAAGCUAUAAGCGCUGUGAGAGAGCUUUGCGUCCCAUUAGCUAGUUGGAGAGGUAACGGCUCACCAAGGCGAUGAUGGGUAGCCGGCCUGAGAGGGUGAUCGGCCACAAGGGGACUGAGACACGGCCCUUACUCCUACGGGAGGCAGCAGUGGGGAAUAUUGGACAAUGGACCGAGAGUCUGAUCCAGCAAUUCUGUGUGCACGAUGAAGUUUUUCGGAAUGUAAAGUGCUUUCAGUUGGGAAGAAACAAAUGACGGUACCAACAGAAGAAGAGACGGCUAAAUACGUG
rnacentral:rRNA from 1 species